GAUGAACGCUAGCGGCAGGCUUAACACAUGCAAGUCGAGGGGCAGCAUAAACAUUGCUUGCAAUGUUUGAUGGCGACCGGCGCACGGGUGCGUAACGCGUAUGUAACCUACCUCAAACAGGGGCAUAACACUGAGAAAUUGGUACUAAUUCCCCAUAACACCUGAUAGGGCAUCCUAUUAGGUUGAAAGUUCCGGCGGUUUGAGAUGGACAUGCGUUGUAUUAGCUAGUUGGUGAGGUAACGGCUCACCAAGGCGACGAUACAUAGGGGGACUGAGACGGUUAACCCCCCACAUUGGUACUGAGACACGGACCAAACUCCUACGGGAGGCAGCAGUGAGGAUAUGGUCAAUGGACGCAAGUCUGAACC
rnacentral:rRNA from 1 species